AGCCCCUCGGCAAGCGUUUUUUUACACCGCGCGCAAGCAGCCAUCCGUGCGCGUAUUUGCCUUUAGUUUCCGUUGUUCCGUCUAAGCAAGUUCUCUUAGUAGUUGUCACAAACGACGUUCCAGUCGUUCUCAGCAGGCUCGUGAAAACAUGCCGGGCCAUCGGCGUUGAAAAGCCCGAAGCGGAGUUCUACGAAGCCAACUGACCGGUCGCCACAAACUGCACAAAGGACCACGUUGUUGUUGCCGCGAACGAGACGUCAUGGCUAAAUCUGAGGACAACGAGGCUGCCGACCUGGACACCAACGCAGUCGAGGCCGCCCCCAGAAGCAAGAGCAGUGGCGGUGGCAAGCGCCGUGGUGGGAACGGCCAGUGGAGCCCCCGCAACACUCUGCUAGUGCGGGACUUCCUGGUGCCCUGCCUCGACAAUGGAUUCUACGGCGAUGAUCUGCAAUGGUUGAACCGUUCUCGCGGCAUCUUCCUCAUCCGCUGGACCCACCAGGGCAGCAAAAGCUUCAACCGCGAGGGGCGCAACGUCUUCCGGGACUGGUCGGUCAUGAAGCGCAAGUGGGACGACCAGGACCCCAACCGGCUGUCAAAGGCCAAGCAGCGCGUGCGAGCUGCCUUUCGCAAGCUGCCAAAUGUCCGCCGCAUCAACGAGGGUGCCGCCCCUCAUCGCAUCUACCGCAUAAAGGACAUCGAUGCCUACUUGAAUCGGGACCAAGACCAAUCAAAGGAGAAGAAGAAGCGUAAGAAGCGCCGGUCGUGCGGAUGCGUGGCUGGAUGUCCCGACUGCGAUCCUCGGGAACAGCGAGUGCAGUCUCCUGCCAGUGUUGCCGACGACGAGGAUGAAGACAUGGAUGAACUGUACGAGGACGACGAAGAGGCCUACGCUGACAGGCCUACCCAGAACCCAAGGUCGGUGCCUCCGCCCGCCCCUUCGUCGUCGGACAUCUGGUCCACAAUGCGCUCCCUCAUGGAGGCAUCCUCUGAGCCUUCCACACCACCCAGGCCCCCCUCCGAAGCGGAGGAGACGGACGAGGCCGCGCUGUCAAGCAUGACAUGGAGUCCCGCCGACAUGGAGGCUGUGUGCACCCUGAUGUCCCUGAGGAAUGCACGUCGCUGGCCGCAGCAGCCUCCGCAGUCCGCCGCUGACCCACUAGCCCCCACGGCGCAGGGAACAGUGGCAACACCGGCGCCACCCUCAGAAGCCCGCCGGGAGGACCAAGUGGUUCCCAUGGAGGCCGCCAUCUCCAGCCCAGAGCCAUCAUCGGCUGAAGACGAAGGGUCUUUAGCAAAGCACAGCAUGCGUGUCUACAAAGAGCAAGUGGCUGCCGCCAUGGCUACGGCCCCACGUUCAGCUCAGCCCGGCACUGGCGACAGCCCACCCAUGUUCUGGGCCGACGCUGCACCUGCCCAGCAGGGGGAGCAGCUGGUGUCUGCAGCCGCCGGUGACAACGGCGUGGUGUCGGGCUUCUGCCCCAACCAUACAUCAAAGGAGGAGAGCUGAUGGCUGUUGGUCGUCGAGGUGACUGGGGCCGUGUGACCAAACCAGUGCAUGCUGAGCGUGUCCGGGUGAAAAAGAAGACUAAAGGCUUCCCGUGUGUGUGUGGAUGCCGCCGCAAACCCGCCAUAUCCAUUCAUGUCUGAUGAAGUUGCGGCAACGACGACUACAAUGAUCAUUUUGCUCAGGCCUCGACUUGUCUCGUCUUGUUUUGUUACUCUGUGUCACGGCAGCGUGCAUAAUUACUGCCCCUCCUCCCUCCUUUUCUCACUUUUUCUCUCUAUACGUCAUUGUGUACAGUAUUGUGCUCCAUGAAUCACAAAUAAAGGAUGCCAAAUGGAUUUUUUUUUGCAUGACAUUUUUUGGCACAUUUUUGUAAA
rnacentral:misc_RNA from 1 species